rnacentral:misc_RNA from 1 species
UUUGCCAUUCUACCAAGGCACUUAGGCACUAGUGUGCAAUAUAGAAGGCUCUUCUCUCUUUGCCUUCACCGAACGACGGGCAGCGCGAUACACCGCCGAGUUGUACGCCGGAGAGUCUGCAAAAUCAGACACACACACAUAUGCACACAAAAAUCUACCGACGGAUAUACACUUCUCCCUCUGCUCGUAUUCGAUCAAACACACCCACAACUGUAUAUGCGCCCUUAUAAUUAGUCGAAGGCAGAGAGAGACCAGGAGAGAAUCCUUGUGCCUCCUCUAAUUUCCUUUUAAGUCCUACAGCUGCUAAGUGAUCUGUUUCUUUCUCACCCAUUGUGCUUACGCACACGGUGCUCAGACCACAUUCAAGAGGCUCUUUGUAUGUGAUCCAAAGGCAAACAACCCUCCGUGAUGAUCGCUGGUGCAAGCGGCAGCACCGGUCGCGAAAUCGUCACACCUGAUCUCGCACCCAGGUACGCCCUGUGUCAUGACCUUAGUGCGCUACCAAUCCCAGUGAAUUUGUGGACCGUCGUCUUUACCAGCUUGCACGCCGGUGACGCGCGCCGUUGCCUGUCCGCGGCUCCUGUGGAGACUGGAAGGACAUUUUAGCGGGCGUCUCGCGCAUCCAACGGUCCGAUGUUUCGGGCGGUGUGCGGCGCUUCGACGACGCGAAGGCCUAGUGAGGGCGGUAUGGGUGAAACUGCCGGCAAACGUACCGCCUCUCGCGGGCGUCGGAUGAUGCUGAUGCGGUGUUUCACACUAACGCUGGGAGCUCCGCUGUCUCGUCUUCGGAGUCGAGCUCGACGCCGUGGUUCUUGGGACCCCCUCACAGCCACAGCAAGAUGCCCACUGGGCAGUCGAGAAUGGAGGAGUAACCCGCCGGUCGACGCGGUCGUGCGAGCGGUGCCCACGACAUCUUGGAGGAGCUCUGCGACAAGAAGCCG